CGAUGAAGACUGGUGCUUGCACUGGUUGGAUUAGUGGCGAACGGGUGAGUAAUACGUGAGUAACCUGCCUUUGACUCUGGGAUAAGCCUGGGAAACUGGGUCUAAUACCGGAUAUGACAAGGAACCGCAUGGUUUUUUGUGGAAAGGGUUUGUACUGGUUUUAGAUGGGCUCACGGCCUAUCAGCUUGUUGGUGGGGUAAUGGCUCACCAAGGCGACGACGGGUAGCCGGCCUGAGAGGGUGACCGGCCACACUGGGACUGAGACACGGCCCAGACUCCUACGGGAGGCAGCAGUGGGGAAUAUUGCACAAUGGGCGCAAGCCUGAUGCAGCGACGCCGCGUGAGGGAUGACGGCCUUCGGGUUGUAAACCUCUUUCAGCAGGGAAGAAGCGAAAGUGACGGUACCUGCAGAAGAAGCGCCGGCUAACUACGUGCCAGCAGCCGCGGUAAUACGUAGGGCGCGAGCGUUGUCCGGAAUUAUUGGGCGUAAAGAGCUUGUAGGCGGUUUGUUGCGUCUGCUGUGAAAGACCGGGGCUUAACCCCGGUAUUGCAGUGGGUACGGGCAGACUAGAGUGCAGUAGGGGAGACUGGAAUUCCUGGUGUANCGGUGAA
rnacentral:rRNA from 1 species